rnacentral:lncRNA from 1 species
GGAAAUGCACCUAGCUUUCAGUCUGGCUCCGCUUGAUGGAAAACUCAGAGCUCGAGGAGGCGACCCUGACUCGACCCGGCAGAAAAGAGGAGACGGAAAACUCCCUCCCUAGAAUCUGGAAUGAACUCCUUGUGUCUGCGGUUCUUCCAGCCUCUCUGGCUUUGGCAGGACACUAGAUUCUGGCUUACCCUUCCCCGGCUCUCGGCUCUCGUCCCUGGCCAGCCACUGUGACCACUGCUUUGCCAGACCACCAGUGUGUCAGAUUCGUUUCCGUUCCGGAAGAUUGGUAUUUGUAUGGUUAUUGUUUUGAAAAAAAGAAAACGAAUUAAAUUAAGGGGAACCAAGGAGAGGGAUAUUUGUAGCUGAGGCCAUUGCUUCAGUGUGGAGCCCUGGUUGUGCCCUUCAGAGCCUCGGGCCGAGAGGGAGUGUGGGGGCUGUGGGGCCCCCGGGAAUUAGCGCGUGGAGUGAACGUCGGGGCAAGAGUUGGGGUGGAUUAGCGGGUUCAAAAGCAGGUCAGGGGGAGCUAAGCGUGGCGACCAAGUCCGUGCUAGGUCAAGGUCCCUGGCAAAGGCUGGCUCGAGCGAUCUGCAGGAAGCCGUACCAGUCUGCAGCUGCCCAGCCAGGGACCAGAGAAAUGCAACAGGAACCCAUGCUUGUCUGCAAUAAUUUACAGGACCCCGUUCGAGCUCCCUGGUUGAGGUGUGCUCACCUUGAAAGACAGGGUUUCUCUUUUACAUUUUAACCUUUUCUUUCUUUUCUUCUUUAUGUUUGAGACAGGACCUCACUCCGUAGCCCAGGUUGGCCUCCAGCUCAGGGCCAUCCUCCUGUGGAACCCCUGAGAUCACAGGCGUGUCUCACCAAGUCCCACCUCUUUGUUUUUAUACUCCCUCCUUUCUGACCAGAUAAAUACAUCGACCCACGCAGGUAGAAUUUUCUUCUCAAGAGUCUCUUUCUCCUCCUGACAUCGGGGGCCAUGUGAGUCAAAUGGGGGUUGGGGAUUUCUGAGACACAAUAAAAGAAUCGCAUCCUCCUCUUCCCGCUCGAGUACCUGCGAUAGGGAGGGAGAGCUGGGAGUAGCUGAGUCGCUCUUUCCUUUGCGAAAGGGAGAGAGGUGACUCUGAGCCCCGAACGUUUGUAGGGCCCUGGAUAGUCUUCCCUUUUCUCCAAAAGACUCGUGAGUUUUAACAGGGAACAAACUUGGAGACGCGGUGGAUUUCGAAAUCCCGGUCUUGUUGGUGGCCUAAGAACAAUUUACAAAGCAGCCGGGGUGGGGAUGAAUCCUCGAGGUCUACCGAGGGUGGUGGCCCCUCCCGAGUCGCUUGGGACCUGGCGUGGGGCUUCUUUUCCUCCCGCGCUGUGCAGGCCCAGGGAGUGGGGUACGCGGAUGGACUUGGUUUUGUUGAAAUCCGGUGAAUCUGGACUCGGGUCGGGCUAGCUUCACGGAGUAAGCCUAUCCGAUCCCUGCAGGGGAGAAGUUUCCUACUUCCAGCUCUGGGGAAAGUACGGAAGGUGGCAAGGAGCUGUGGAAAGCGGAGGUGGCUUGGGAGAGGCCUGGGCUGUGGAGUCCCCGGGCGGCUCCCGCGACUUCUCUGGAAUGCUUCCGAGCUGCAGGCCCUGGAUGCUGGCGUGCAGGGUGUAGAGCGGCAGACCCGGAUGGACCGGCUGGUGCGGUGCUCGGGUCCGAGUGGAGCGGGCGUUCUCGCUUCGCGGCUUGCAACCGGCCUCACAGUUCAGGCUUCAGCGGCAGAAAUAAUGGGACUGACGGCAAGAAAGUAUCCCAACGCUUUCCCGCUCUUCUGGAGCUGCCUCCACCCCAUCCCCACCGCCGCAUCCUUCUUUUUGAAUAAAUUUACCUUGAAAGUA